GGGGGUAGAAUCAGNUGUAGCGUGAAAUGCGUAGAGAUCUGGAGGAAUACNGGUGGCGAAGNNNCCCCCUGGACGGAGACUGACGCUCAGUGCGAAAGCGUGGGGAGCAAACAGGAUUAGAUACCUGGUAGUCCCGCGUAAACGAUGUCGACUUGGAGGUUGUGCCCUUGAGGCGUGGCUUCCGGAGCUAACGCGUUAAGUCGACCGCUGGGGAGUACGGCCGCAAGGUUAAAACUCAAAUGAAUUGACGGGGGCCCGCACAAGCGGUGGAGCAUGUGGUUUAAUUCGAUGCAACGCGAAGAACCUUACCUGGUCUUGACAUCCACGGAAGUUUUCAGAGAUGAGAAUGUGCCUUCGGGAACCGUGAGACAGGUGCUGCAUGGCUGUCGUCAGCUCGUGUUGUGAAAUGAUGGGUUAAGUCCCGCAACGAGCGCAACCCUUAUCCUUUGUUGCCAGCGGUCCGGCCGGGAACUCAAAGGAGACUGCCAGUGAUAAACUGGAGGAAGGUGGGGAUGACGUCAAGUCAUCAUGGCCCUUACGACCAGGGCUACACACGUGCUACAAUGGCGCAUACAAAGAGAAGCGACCUCGCGAGAGCAAGCGGACCUCAUAAAGUGCGUCGUAGUCCGGAUUGGAGUCUGCAACUCGACUCCAUGAAGUCGGAAUCGCUAGUAAUCGUGGAUCAGAAUGCCACGGUGAAUACGUUCCCGGGCCUUGUACACACCGCCCGUCACACCAUGGGAGUGGGUUGCAAAAGAAGUAGGUAGCUUAACCUUCGGGAGGGCGCUUACCACUUUGUGAUUCAUGACUGGGGUGAAGUCGUAACAAGGUAACCGUAGGGGAACCUGCGGCUGGAUCACCUCCUU
rnacentral:rRNA from 1 species